CUGUGGGAGGUGCAAUCGUUCCGCCAGGAGAGAAACGAGCGCCAUGCGAGCGCUGGCGUCUAGGAUGAAACUUGGCGUGCGAAAAAGGCGCGAAGGCGAGCGUUUCGCGCGUUUGUGAGUGCAUAGGCGCCAUUUUCAGUUGUCACUACGGCUGCGCAAGGUGCUCAAGGCUGUUGUUUCUUUCUCCUGGGCUCCUGGCCGGGUUGGCCCCACAGAAAAGAUGCGUUAUGCCACUAUUGAAUUCACCAAAGCUGAAGAAGUGGAUCGAAGUUGUUCCUACAAGUUGGAUCUCCGACAACAAGUGUUGGUGGCCAGCUCACGCAAAGCCCGAAAAGCUCACGUCAAUGGUGAAAAAAAUCACACCCGGUGGAAUCAACGUGGAAACAGUUUGACAUUUCUGUAAAAGGGUUAUUGGUGGGAGCCAUGUUUUGGUAUGGUGAUCUUUUAGAACAAAAUGAGAGUCAAAACUUGACCAUUGCAUUGUCAUUUCUUGUUCAGCCACAUACGAUCAUGCACGUAAAAAGCUGAAUAAAAGUCAGUUCACAUCGAAUCUGAGCAGUGACCCUGACAUGAUUCAAAAAAGAGGCUGCCGAGCACCAUUUUUAUACACAGACUCGGAUUAAAGUGACUCGCAACCUUCUCCAAGCUCUGUGAAGCAGCUGCGAAUCCCAGAGGUUCCCGAAGAUUUUCCGCAGAGUGAAGUAAAUGUGGUCACUACAGCUUUGUAACGCAAAAAAUGUAGCUGUUGUAAAUAAAAUAUAAUGAUUACUUUAUUCGUACGAUGGUGCCCCUUUAAAGCUUUCUCGUAGUUUAUGAUUGCUUGCUCUGUCUAACAUCUGUGAAUGUGUCCCAU